rnacentral:tRNA from 1 species
GGGGCGCUGCGGUGGCGGCCGGGUCGGCGCCGUUGACGCCGGGGCGGGGCCGGGACCAGGAGGCGACCAGGCCGGGCUCGGGCACGGGUGCCUUG